rnacentral:rRNA from 1 species
CGGGACACGUGGUAUCCUGUCUGAAUAUGGGGGGACCAUCCUCCAAGGCUAAAUACUCCUGACUGACCGAUAGUGAACCAGUACCGUGAGGGAAAGGCGAAAAGAACCCCGGCGAGGGGAGUGAAAAAGAACCUGAAACCGUGUACGUACAAGCAGUGGGAGCCUCUUUAUGGGGUGACUGCGUACCUUUUGUAUAAUGGGUCAGCGACUUAUAUUCUGUAGCAAGGUUAACCGAAUAGGGGAGCCGAAGGGAAACCGAGUCUUAACUGGGCGUUAAGUUGCAGGGUAUAGACCCGAAACCCGGUGAUCUAGCCAUGGGCAGGUUGAAGGUUGGGUAACACUAACUGGAGGACCGAACCGACUAAUGUUGAAAAAUUAGCGGAUGACUUGUGGCUGGGGGUGAAAGGCCAAUCAAACCGGGAGAUAGCUGGUUCUCCCCGAAAGCUAUUUAGGUAGCGCCUCGUGAAUUCAUCUCCGGGGGUAGAGCACUGUUUCGGCAAGGGGGUCAUCCCGACUUACCAACCCGAUGCAAACUGCGAAUACCGGAGAAUGUUAUCACGGGAGACACACGGCGGGUGCUAACGUCCGUCGUGAAGAGGGAAACAACCCAGACCGCCAGCUAAGGUCCCAAAGUCAUGGUUAAGUGGGAAACGAUGUGGGAAGGCCCAGACAGCCAGGAUGUUGGCUUAGAAGCAGCCAUCAUUUAAAGAAAGCGUAAUAGCUCACUGGUCGAGUCGGCCUGCGCGGAAGAUGUAACGGGGCUAAACCAUGCACCGAAGCUGCGGCAGCGACGCUUAUGCGUUGUUGGGUAGGGGAGCGUUCUGUAAGCCUGCGAAGGUGUGCUGUGAGGCAUGCUGGAGGUAUCAGAAGUGCGAAUGCUGACAUAAGUAACGAUAAAGCGGGUGAAAAGCCCGCUCGCCGGAAGACCAAGGGUUCCUGUCCAACGUUAAUCGGGGCAGGGUGAGUCGACCCCUAAGGCGAGGCCGAAAGGCGUAGUCGAUGGGAAACAGGUUAAUAUUCCUGUACUUGGUGUUACUGCGAAGGGGGGACGGAGAAGGCUAUGUUGGCCGGGCGACGGUUGUCCCGGUUUAAGCGUGUAGGCUGGUUUUCCAGGCAAAUCCGGAAAAUCAAGGCUGAGGCGUGAUGACGAGGCACUACGGUGCUGAAGCAACAAAUGCCCUGCUUCCAGGAAAAGCCUCUAAGCAUCAGGUAACAUCAAAUCGUACCCCAAACCGACACAGGUGGUCAGGUAGAGAAUACCAAGGCGCUUGAGAGAACUCGGGUGAAGGAACUAGGCAAAAUGGUGCCGUAACUUCGGGAGAAGGCACGCUGAUAUGUAGGUGAAGCGACUUGCUCGUGGAGCUGAAAUCAGUCGAAGAUACCAGCUGGCUGCAACUGUUUAUUAAAAACACAGCACUGUGCAAACACGAAAGUGGACGUAUACGGUGUGACGCCUGCCCGGUGCCGGAAGGUUAAUUGAUGGGGUUAGCGGUAACGCGAAGCUCUUGAUCGAAGCCCCGGUAAACGGCGGCCGUAACUAUAACGGUCCUAAGGUAGCGAAAUUCCUUGUCGGGUAAGUUCCGACCUGCACGAAUGGCGUAAUGAUGGCCAGGCUGUCUCCACCCGAGACUCAGUGAAAUUGAACUCGCUGUGAAGAUGCAGUGUACCCGCGGCAAGACGGAAAGACCCCGUGAACCUUUACUAUAGCUUGACACUGAACAUUGAGCCUUGAUGUGUAGGAUAGGUGGGAGGCUUUGAAGUGUGGACGCCAGUCUGCAUGGAGCCGGCCUUGAAAUACCACCCUUUAAUGUUUGAUGUUCUAACGUUGGCCCCUGAUCGGGGUUGCGGACAGUGUCUGGUGGGUAGUUUGACUGGGGCGGUCUCCUCCUAAAGAGUAACGGAGGAGCACGAAGGUUGGCUAAUCCUGGUCGGACAUCAGGAGGUUAGUGCAAUGGCAUAAGCCAGCUUGACUGCGAGCGUGACGGCGCGAGCAGGUGCGAAAGCAGGUCAUAGUGAUCCGGUGGUUCUGAAUGGAAGGGCCAUCGCUCAACGGAUAAAAGGUACUCCGGGGAUAACAGGCUGAUACCGCCCAAGAGUUCAUAUCGACGGCGGUGUUUGGCACCUCGAUGUCGGCUCAUCACAUCCUGGGGCUGAAGUAGGUCCCAAGGGUAUGGCUGUUCGCCAUUUAAAGUGGUACGCGAGCUGGGUUUAGAACGUCGUGAGACAGUUCGGUCCCUAUCUGCCGUGGGCGCUGGAGAACUGAGGGGGGCUGCUCCUAGUACGAGAGGACCGGAGUGGACGCAUCACUGGUGUUCGGGUUGUCAUGCCAAUGGCACUGCCCGGUAGCUAAAUGCGGAAGAGAUAAGUGCUGAAAGCAUCUAAGCACGAAACUUGCCCCGAGAUGAGUUCUCCCUGAGACUUUAAGUCUCCUGAAGGAACGUUGAAGACGACGACGUUGAUAGGCCGGGUGUGUAAGCGCAGCGAUGCGUUGAGCUAA